GGAAGAACCUUUUAGAGAGGAAGAGGAUGCUAUCUCAAUAAAGGUGAAGAAGGAAGACGUUUUUGGAGUGAAAGAGGAGACAGAAUAUCAGAUUAACACCAGACAACGCUAGCCCUUCCUCCCUCCCGGAGUCCCCGUGUCGUACCUCUCCCGGUAGCACCUUACUGCUGGGUAUGAAGAGGUUGUCUGUGCUGCUGGUGGACUGCAGGAAAACAACGGGGCUGAGUGGAACUGUGAGAGGAGGAGAAGAGAAGAAAGGAUCAGA
ensembl:lncRNA